rnacentral:rRNA from 1 species
UCUGGAAACUGUNUGACUUGAGUGCAGAAGGGGAGAGUGGAAUUCCAUGUGUAGCGGUGAAAUGCGUAGAUAUAUGGAGGAACACCAGUGGCGAAAGCGGCUCUCUGGUCUGUCACUGACGCUGAGGCUCGAAAGCGUGGGUAGCGAUCAGGAUUAGAUACCCUGGUAGUNCACGCCGUAAACGAUGAGUGCUAGGUGUUAGGCCCUUUCCGGGGCUUAGUGCCGGAGCUAACGCAAUAAGCACUCCGCCUGGGGAGUACGACCGCAAGGUUGAAACUCAAAGGAAUUGACGGGGGCCCGCACAAGCGGUGGAGCAUGUGGUUUAAUUCGAAGCAACGCGAAGAACCUUACCAGGUCUUGACAUCCCGAUGCUAUUCUUAGAGAUAGGAAGUUACUUCGGUACAUCGGAGACAGGUGGUGCAUGGUUGUCGUCAGCUCGUGUCGUGAGAUGUUGGGUUAAGUCCCGCAACGAGCGCAACCCUUAUUGUUAGCUGCCAUCAUUAAGUUGGGCACUCUAGCGAGACUGCCGGUAAUAAACCGGAGGAAGGUGGGGAUGACGUCAAAUCAUCAUGCCCCUUAUGACCUGGGCUACACACGUGCUACAAUGGUCGGUACAACGAGUUGCGAGCCGGUGACGGCAAGCUAAUCUCUGAAAGCCGAUCUCAGUUCGGAUUGGAGGCUGCAACUCGCCUCCAUGAAGUCGGAAUCGCUAGUAAUCGCGGAUCAGCACGCCGCGGUGAAUACGUUCCCGGGCCUUGUACACACCGCCCGUCACACCACGAGAGUUUGCAACACCCGAAGUCGGUGAGGUAACCUUUUAGGGGCCAGCCG